rnacentral:rRNA from 1 species
UACGGGGGGAGCAAGCGUUGUUCGGAUUUACUGGGCGUAAAGGGCGCGCAGGUGGCGGUGUUGGCCCGGCGUGAAAGCCCCCGGCUCAACCGGGGAGGGUCGUCGGGGACCGCACCGCUUGAGGGCGGUAGGGGCUGGUGGAAUGCCUGGUGUAGUGGUGAAAUGCGUAGAGAUCAGGCGGAACACCCGUAGCGAAGGCGGCCAGCUGGGCCGUCCCUGACACUGAGGCGCGAAGGCGUGGGGAGCGAACGGG